rnacentral:rRNA from 1 species
CAGCCGUAAACAAUGUGCGUUAGGUGUGUCGGUAACCACGCGUUACUGAUGCGCCGAAGAGAAAUCGUGAAACGCACCACCUGGGAAGUACGGUCGCAAGGCUGAAACUUAAAGGAAUUGGCGGGGGAGCACCACAACAGGUGAGCCUGCGGUUUAAUUGGAUUCAACGCCGGACAUCUCACCGGAUAAGACAGCUGAAUGAUUGUCAAUCUGAAGGUUUUACAUGACUAGCUGAGAGGAGGUGCAUGGCGUCAGUGACU